GGUGGCUCAGUGGUAGAGUGCUUGCCUUGCAUGCAUGAGACCCUGGGUUCAAUUCCUCAGUACCA
rfam:Dipodomys ordii contig_60964, whole genome shotgun sequence.